UACGUAGGGUGCAAGCGUUUAAUCGGAAUUACUGGGCGUAAAGCGUGCGCAGGCGGUUUUGUAAGUCUGACGUGAAAUCCCCGGGCUCAACCUGGGAAUUGCGUUGGAGACUGCAAGGCUGGAGUCUGGCAGAGGGGGGUAGAAUUCCAGGUGUAGCGGUGAAAUGCGUAGAUAUGUGGAGGAAUACCGAUGGCGAAGGCAGCCCCCUGGGAUAACACUGACGCUCAUGCACGAAAGCGUGGGGAGCAACAGG
rnacentral:rRNA from 1 species